rnacentral:rRNA from 1 species
AUAUCAAUAAGCGGAGGAAUAGAAACUAACAAGGAUUCCCCUAGUAACGGCGAGCGAACCGGGAAGAGCUCAAAUUUGAAAUCUGGCUCUAGGCCGAGUUGUAAUUUGUAGAAGAUGCUUCGGGUGUGGCACCGGUCUAAGUUCCUUGGAACAGGACGUCAUAGAGGGUGAGAAUCCCGUACGUGACUGGCCGCCUUCGCCCGUGUGAAGCUCUUUCGACGAGUCGAGUUGUUUGGGAAUGCAGCUCUAAAUGGGAGGUAAAUUUCUUCUAAAGCUAAAUACCGGCCAGAGACCGAUAGCGCACAAGUA